rnacentral:rRNA from 1 species
AUACGGAGGGGGCUAGCGUUGUUCGGAAUUACGGGGCGUAAAGCGCACGUAGGCGGAUUAAAAAGUUAGAGGUGAAAUCCCAGGGCUUAACCCUGGAACUGCCUUUAAAACUAGUAGUCUAGAGUUCGAGAGAGGUGAGUGGAAUUCCAAGUGUAGAGGUGAAAUUCGUAGAUAUUUGGAGGAACACCAGUGGCGAAGGCGGCUCACUGGCUCGAUACUGACGCUGAGGUGCGAAAGCGUGGGGAGCAAACAGGAUUAGAAACCCUAGUAGUCC